rnacentral:rRNA from 1 species
UACAGAGGUCCCAAGCGUUGUUCGGAUUUACUGGGCGUAAAGGGUGCGUAGGUGGCGGGGUAAGUCUGGUGUGAAAGCUCCGAGCUCAACUCGGAAAAGCAUUGGAAACUAUCCCGCUGGAGGGUCGGAGGGGAGACUGGAAUCUCGGUGUAGCCAGUGAAAUGCGUAGAGAUCGUAAGGAAGACCAGUGGCGAAGGCGGGGGUCU